rnacentral:rRNA from 1 species
GCCCAACCGUAAACUUUUACUUACAGCCAAAUCGCCAGGGAACUACGAGCUAAGCUUAAAACCCAAAGGACUUGACGGUACCCCAAAUCCCCCUAGAGGAGCCUGUCCUAUAAUCGAUAAUCCACGUUCAACCUCACCACUUUUAGCCAACCAGUCUGUAUACCUCCGUCGUCAGCUUACCCCGUGAGCGCCAAUUAGUGAGCCCAAUGUUAAUUCACCAAUACGUCAGGUCAAGGUGCAGCAAAUGAAGUGGGAAGAGAUGGGCUACACUCUCUAUAUUAGAAAAAACGAAAAACUACCUAUGAAACCUAGUUAGAAGGCGGAUUUAGCAGUAAAAGGGAAUCAGCAUAUCCUUUUUAACCCGGCACUGGGGUGUGU